rnacentral:rRNA from 1 species
CCUACGGGAGGCAGCAGUGAGGAAUAUUGGUCAAUGGGCGCGAGCCUGAACCAGCCAAGUAGCGUGAAGGAUGAAGGUUCUAUGGAUCGUAAACCUCUUUUAUAAGGGAAUAAAGUGCGGGACGUGUCCCGUUUUGUAUGUACCUUAUGAAUAAGGAUCGGCUAACUCCGUGCCAGCAGCCGCGGUAAUACGGGGGAUGCAAGCGUUAUCCGGAUUUAUUGGGUUUAAAGGGUGCGUAGGCUGUGAGGUAAGUCAGCGGUGAAAUGCCCCCGCUCAACGGGGUGAAGUGCCAUUGAUACUGCCUGGCUGGAAUGCGGAUGCCGUGGGAGGAAUGUGUGGUGUAGCGGUGAAAUGCAUAGAUAUCACACAGAACACCGAUUGCGAAGGCAUCUCACGAAUCCGCGAUUGACGCUGAUGCACGAAAGCGUGGGUAUCAAACAGGAUUAGAUACCCUUGUAGUC